rnacentral:rRNA from 1 species
AACUCUGAGCGGUGGAUCACUCGGCUCGUGCGUCGAUGAAAGAGCGCAGCCAACUGCGUGAAUUAGUGUGAAUUGCA